rfam:Pan troglodytes isolate Yerkes chimp pedigree #C0471 (Clint) chromosome 19, whole genome shotgun sequence.
GCCAGGCGUGGUGGCGUGCACCUGUAGUCCCAGCUACUUGGGAGGCUGAGGCAGGAGAAUCGCUUGAACCUGGGAGGCUGAGGUUGCAGUGAGCCGAGAUCAUGCCACUGCACUCCAGCCUGGGUGACAGAGCGAGACUCCGUCUCAA